rnacentral:miRNA from 1 species
UUGGGUGACCAACAUUCCUGGUUUGCCUGGGACUGAGGGUUUCCCAGGAUACAGGACCUUCAGUGCUAAAACGAAGAAAGUC